GGCUCAGGAGUGUAGGCUGGGCCAGAGUGGGCAGUGGCGGUCCCUAGGCUGGGGCAGGGCUGGGAAAUGUGUGAGGAGCAGAAAGGGACUCACCUGUCCCCGAGAGGCACGCAGUCAGCAGGCACGUGAGGCUCCCUGAGGCCCCUCCCCCGGAGUCUCCAAGCUCUGACUGGGCAGGUCUGGGCCAGCGGGGGGCUCAGCACAAGGCCCAGGCCUGUCAGCAGCGCAGUUGCCAAGCCGACAGCCAGCAGCACCCCUGAAAGUUGCGGGGAGAGCGGAAGGGCCACAUGAUGACCACUCAGAACCUCCCCAGGCUGCGCUGGCCCGGAGAGCAGCGUUUUGCAUUUGCCCCUUGGCCCUGGUCUCUCUGUCUUGCUGCCUUCAGGCUUUAACUCCUCAUAGCUCCCUGUAGAUCAACCUCAUUCCUGCCUCUGGGGCUUUGUGAUGUCAGGUGUCCUCCUGGGAAUGCUCCUCUCCCCACACCCCACCAUGUAAGACCCCUCCCAGGACAUUGCUGCUGGCCUUCCCGGCAGGUCCCAGCACUGCCCUGUGCUUCAUGUGGCUUGCUGGCUGCCCUGUGCCCAGGUGGCUUAGCACCUGGCCCCUGCAGGGCAGUGUUCUCUGUCCCACCUGGGUGGGGGCCAUGAAUGCCCCAUGCUCUGGGCUCAGCCGGAGGGCUCAGUGCAGACUGCUGACUCAUGAAGACAAGAAGGAAACAAGAUGAGAAAACCCAGAGAGGAGGUUACAGGAGGCACCCCUGCGAUCCUGGUACUCUACCGUGCAACUCACUCACCGCGCAGGGACUCGCUCCCCAGGGAAGCUCCCAGGACUGAGGCACAGAAGUCUGACACCUCCACGGGCUGCAGGAGGAGUCUCAGAAUGCUGGAGCUGAAACAUCUGCUCAAGAUAUGGAAUGAAGGCCCCCAGGGAAGUGACCGAACAGGCCGAGAGCAGGGGACAGCACCAGCCUGUGCCCCACGACUUCGAAGGCACGGUCUGUACGUGAUGUCACCAGGCAGACGGAUAGGGAGGGAUGAGGGAGCCAGAGCGGGAGGGCGGGGCCGAGGGGCAGACUCACUGUCAGGGUGAAUCUGAAGCUGGAAAAGAAUCACGUCCUCUUCUAUCAAGCAGAUCACUGGGUUUGGAAUGUGGGGAGGGAUGCUGGGGGCCUGGGGGACAGGGUAUGCCGGGCCUGCAGUCCAGCGACGCCUUUGCAGCCGGGAGCUGGACACAGGUGGUCCUGGAAGAGUUUGGGGGCGAAAAGCUGAAGGACCUGGCCUGUCUGGGGAGGCAUACACACCGCCUGUUGGCCCCACCCUGUCUCGAUUCCCUUUUAAGAGCAGUUCCAGCCCUUCUGGGGCCCUUGCCUCCCCAAAGACUGUCUUCCUACCUGGCCUUCUGUGUCCCUGCCAGACCCUGGCCUCCUGAACCCUGGGACAGAGCUGAGAGAUUUCUAGGGGCUGCAGCUGCGCCUCGCAGUGCGGUCGCCUUCCCCUUCCAGGAGGAAAGCAGCCACGCCCUCACUCCACCCACUUUCUCUGGGAGAGCCUGGGCUUGGUACCACGUGCUUACCAAGGAGGGAGCCAAGCAUGGCCAUGCUGGAGAUGACAAGGCCGAAGAUGCCGUGGGGGCCACACUGGACCAGAUGGACCCUGGCGCUCCCUUGGAAGGAUGGGUCUGGGCCCAGAGCGCUGGCUACUUCCUGAGAACACGCAUCACAGCAUCAUACGCCCGGGGAGAGGAGGAGGGGCAACGAGGCUCCCAGAGGUGGGGGCGCAGAGACCAGACUGAGCCCUUGGGCACAGCCCCUGGUGAGGGGGCUCAGAGACGUCCACUGUCAGCCUCCUUCCUCACUGAAACUUGCCCGGGUGGCCACCUGUGCCUGGGUCCCUCCCCAUCUUCAGAAAACACCCCUGACUUAACUCAGUCCCUGUACUGAGCCACUGUUUGCCCCUUGUUUCUAUCUGCCUGCAAAUGUCCUACUUAUGGAACAACUUAGAAACAUGUCCCUAUCACCCCAAAUCUGCUGUCCA
ensembl:lncRNA